rnacentral:rRNA from 1 species
UACGUAGGGUGCAAGCGUUGUCCGGAAUUAUUGGGCGUAAAGAGCUCGUAGGCGGUUUGUCGCGUCUGCUGUGAAAACUCGGGGCUUAACCCCGGGCCUGCAGUGGGUACGGGCAGACUAGAGUGCGGUAGGGGAGACUGGAAUUCCUGGUGUAGCGGUGAAAUGCGCAGAUAUCAGGAGGAACACCGGUGGCGAAAGCGGCUCUCUGGAACGGUACUGACGCUGAGACGCGAAAGCGUGGGGAGCGAACAGG